rnacentral:rRNA from 1 species
CGGGGCUUGCCCCGGGGCAGAGCCGCGAACGGGUGAGUACACGUGGGUAACCCACCCCGAUGACCGGGACAACCCGAGGAAACUCGAGCUAAUACCGGAUGUGCCCCUUCACCAUGAGGUGACUGAGUAAAGAUAGCUUCGGCCUUCGCAUCGGGACGGGCCCGCGGCCCAUUAGCUUGUUGGUGGGGUAAAGGCCUACCAAGGCGACGAUGGGUAGCUGGUCUGAGAGGACGAUCAGCCACACUGGGACUGAGACACGGCCCAGACUCCUACGGGAGGCAGCAGUGGGGAAUCUUGCACAAUGCGCGAAAGCGUGAUGCAGCAACGCCGCGUGGGGGAAGACGGCCUUCGGGUUGUAAACCCCUUUCAGUUGGGACGAAGCUUCGCCGGUGAAUAGCCGGCUGGAGUGACGGUACCUUCACAAGAAGCCCCGGCUAACUACGUGCCAGCAGCCGCGGUAAUACGUAGGGGGCUAGCGUUGUCCGGAAUCAUUGGGCGUAAAGCGCGUGUAGGCGGUUCGGUAAGUCCGCUGUGAAAGUCGGGGGCUCAACCCUCGGAUGCCGGUGGAUACUGUCGGACUAGAGUACGGAAGAGGCGAGUGGAAUUCCUGGUGUAGCGGUGAAAUGCGCAGAUAUCAGGAGGAACACCGAUUGCGAAGGCAGCUCGCUGGGACGUUACUGACGCUGAUACGCGAAAGCGUGGGGAGCAAACAGGAUUAGAUACCCUG